AUAGCUGGUUAAAAAUAUAGGUGUAAGCAACCUCUAAGAGCCAGUAUGUAGAAGUGAACCUUCUGCAAUAAACCUUCAAAUUGACGGGGAAGCCCUAAAGCAAUCUAAACCAAGUAAGCAUGGCAACAUAGCUUAUGGCACAGGUAAUGACUCGUGGUAUGGUAAAAUAUAGAUUGAUUUACGAUAGUAAGUAAAAUGGGUUAUCCGCAGCCAAGCACCUUAUGGGUGUGCAGUUCAUCGACUAAAUGUGGGUUGGCGCAAGCUUAAGAUAUAGUCAGACCUUAUCCGAAAGGAUACA
rnacentral:ncRNA from 1 species